UCGGGAAUUUUGGGCAAUGGGGGAAACCCUGACCCAGCAACGCCGCGUGAAGGAUGAAGUAUUUCGGUAUGUAAACUUCGAAAGAAUAGGAAGAAUAAAUGACGGUACUAUUUAUAAGGUCCGGCUAACUACGUGCCAGCAGCCGCGGUAAUACGUAGGGACCAAGCGUUGUUCGGAUUUACUGGGCGUAAAGGGCGCGUAGGCGGCAUGACAAGUCACUUGUGAAAUCUCUGGGCUUAACCCAGAACGGCCAAGUGAUACUGUCGCGCUAGAGUGCAGAAGGGGCAAUCGGAAUUCUUGGUGUAGCGGUGAAAUGCGUAGAUAUCAAGAGGAACACCUGAGGUGAAGACGGGUUGCUGGGCUGACACUGACGCUGAGGCGCGAAAGCCAGGGGAGCAAACGGGAUUAGAUACCCUCGUAGUCCCUGAGCGGGCUGGCAAGGCG
rnacentral:rRNA from 1 species